rnacentral:rRNA from 1 species
UGGUGGAGUGAUUUGUCUGCUUAAUUGCGAUAACGAACGAGACCUUAACCUGCUAAAUAGCCCGUAUUGCUUUGGCAGUACGCUGGCUUCUUAGAGGGACUUUCGGCUCAAGCCGAAGGAAGUUUGAGGCAAUAACA